UUCUGUCACCGCAGCAACAAGGGAAGUGCCCAAGAAGGAAGAAUCAAAUACCAAUUGUGACUUCCUUGGCCCGGAUUUCCCCUGCGCUGAGUGAGUUACGAGGAGUACCAGGGAAUCGAAGAAGAUAGCCAAAAAGUUGAAGGAAGCAAAGGGGUUGAGCAAGCAAGAAGAACAGGUAUGUGGAGGUAAGUAGUUUGUUAUGGUUCUGUUAUGCCUUCAUCACCCAAUUUACAGACUACUUAUAUCCGAUCAAUAUGGGCCAAUUACAAUCCACGGCCAAUACGGCACAAUUUCACAAUACUAUGACCACCCUGAGUGAUGCACAUGCGUGACAGGAUGGCGGUGGCGAACUGGCGAGAUGGAGAAAAGGGAAGGCGGCAGGGGAUUAGGAGCCAGGAUGGAAACCACCGCCGUGGUUUUCCCCAACGCACACGGACCUGGCUGGUUCCUUCGGCUUCGAUCGAAGUGAAGCCACCGCUUCCAUGUUAGAAACGAUUUCUUGCUUUUUCCUCUCUUUCUUCGAUGGAUAAACACGGCGCCAUAUGAGCAAAGUUUAAUAAUUAGAUUGGCACAUAGUAAAGUUAAAGAAAGAAAUAGAGAUAUAAUAAUAAAUAGACGUAGUAACCAUGGUGGCAUCUGCUUUGUGAAUUUGUGAGUGCCCUAAGUAUUUUUUUGUAUUUUUUUAUCAUAUUAUCCUAUUACCUAGAAUCAACACACAACAGCAGGAACAUACCUUAAGACACGAUUUCUUUGCAUUUUUUUUAGGAAUUAGAAUCUAACUAAUGAAGUAGACUAAUUUUUAGAACGUGGCAUUCUAUAACUUUUCAAAGUUUAUAUAUAAGUCUAUCUUAAAUUCAUGGGGUAAGAAAUGUAAGAAAUGGAAAUUGAUUAUAUAGAUUUAUAUGCUACUUUUCUAAUAUACAACUUAUUGCAAACUCUUUUACUUGCUUCUCUAUAAUAUAAAUGUAGUUUAUAAUUAUCUAUCUCAUAUGAUUUAGGAUAAUAUACAAGUAUAUUACAUAGAGAAAUAUAUUAACUCAACUAGUUUUGUCUAAAUUAUAGACAAAUUAUAGUUAUUAGAAUGGAAUUCAAUUCCAACUAAACAAACAGUGCCUAAGAGAAAUAGGCCUGACUGACAACAUUAUUGAUUUGAUGCCUCGACUGCAUUAAUGUUAAGAGUAAAAUCAUAAUGCAUUGCCAGCGAACUGGAGAAACAUAUUUCAGUAGCAUAAGCAAAAGCUAUUAGAUAUGUCAAAGAUCAAAUGGGCACUCCCUUUAUUUCAACAGAUCCAUGCAGUUCAAAUUGUACAUUUGCAAUUCAGUACACAUCAGACUGCUAGAAAAAAAUUCAUGAUUUGCAUCAUUUAUUCUUUUUAACAGAAAACAUCACAUGUAUAGUUAUUGUGAUGACAUGUGCCAUGAAGAAUGACACUGGGGGAGCGCCAUUUGCGUCUCACUCUACUUGAUGCAGUUGCUGCAAGACAUUAUCAUCAGA
rnacentral:lncRNA from 1 species